rnacentral:piRNA from 1 species
UGGGAAUCAGGUCUCCCUCCUACCUCAACUC